rnacentral:rRNA from 1 species
UUCCGGUUGAUCCCGCCGGAGGUUACUGCUUUCGGUGUUCGACUAAGCCAUGCAAGUCAUAUGUUCCUCGUGAACAUGGCAUACUGCUCAGUAACACGUGGAUAACCUGCCCUUGGGUCUGGGAUAACCCCGGGAAACUGGGGAUAAUACCGGAUAACGCAUAUGUGCUGGAAUGCUUUAUGCGUAAAAUGGAUUCGUCCGCCCAAGGAUGGGUCUGCGGCCUAUCAGGUAGUAGUGGGUGUAAUGUACCUACUAGCCAACAACGGGUACGGGUUGUGAGAGCAAGAGCCCGGAGAUGGAUUCUGAGACAUGAAUCCAGGCCCUACGGGGCGCAGCAGGCGCGAAAACUUUACAAUGCGGGAAACCGUGAUAAGGGAACACCGAGUGCCAGCAUCAUAUGCUGGCUGUCCAGAUGUGUAAACUACAUCUGUUAGCAAGGGCCGGGCAAGACCGGUGCCAGCCGCCGCGGUAACACCGGCGGCCCGAGUGGUGACCGUUAUUAUUGGGUCUAAAGGGUCCGUAGCCGGUUUGGUCAGUCCUCCGGGAAAUCUGAUA